rnacentral:rRNA from 1 species
UAGUCAUAUGCUUGUCUAAAAGAUUAAGCCAUGCAUGUCUAAGUAUAAGCAAUUAUACUGCAAAACUGCGGAUAGCUCAUUAUAUCAGUUAUAGUUUAUUUGAUGGUACCCUACUACAUGGAUAUCUGUAGUAAUUCUAGAGCUAAUACAUGUUCAGUUAGUCAGACUCCUUCGGGGGAAUGCAUGGAUUUAUUAGAUACCCUUUUGCCAAUCCGACUUGUCGGUUUUAUGGUGAAUCAUAAUAACUUCUAGAUCGCAUAUGCCUUAACGGGCGGCGAUGGGUCAUUCAAGUUUCUGCCCUAUCAGCUAGAUGUUAGUGUAUUGGACUAACAUGGCAUAUACGGGUGACGGAGGAUUAGGGUCCGAUCCCGGAGAGGGAGCCUGAGAAACGGCUACCACUUCCAAGGAAGGCAGCAGGCGCGUAAAUUACCCAAUCCCAAUACGGGGAGGUAGUGACAAGAAAUAACAAUAUCGGGCUCUUUAUGGGUCUGGUAAUUGGAAUGAGCAUAAUGUAAAAUCCUUAACGAGGAUCAACU